CACGUAGGGCGCAAGUGUUGUCCGGAAUUAUUGGGCGUAAAGAGCUCGUAGGCGGUCUGUUGCGUCCGCUGUGAAAACUCGGGGCUUAACCCCGAGCCUGCAGUGGAUACGGGCAGACUAGAGGUAGGUAGGGGAGAAUGGAAUUCCCGGUGUAGCGGUGAAAUGCGCAGAUAUCGGGAGGAACACCAAUAGCGAAGGCAGCUCGCUGGGACGGUACUGACGCUAAGGCGCGAAAGCGUGGGGAGCGAACAGG
rnacentral:rRNA from 1 species